rnacentral:lncRNA from 1 species
GUGCCAUUGGGUGCUUCAUUGUUGUCGUGCUCCAGUGGUAUUGGAUGAGAAAGAUGAGUGGAUGCAUCAUUCCCAAAUACCUCCACCCCCAUCUAUUAGGUUUCUAACCAUGCAGCAAAAAAAGAUUUUUAAAAUUUUAAAAUGAAACAAGUCAAUAGUUUUUAUCAAAUAAAACUAUCGAGCCGGAAUCCAAACCCUAG